UACGUAGGGUGCAAGCGUUAAUCGGAAUUACUGGGCGUAAAGCGUGCGCAGGCGGUUCUAUAAGACAGAUGUGAAAUCCCCGGGCUCAACCUGGGAACUGCAUUUGUGACUGUAGAGCUGGAGUACGGCAGAGGGGGGUGGAAUUCCGCGUGUAGCAGUGAAAUGCGUAGAGAUGCGGAGGAACACCGAUGGCGAAGGCAGCCCCCUGGGCUAACACUGACGCUCAGGCACGAAAGCGUGGGGAGCAAACAGG
rnacentral:rRNA from 1 species